UAACUAAAAGUUAUUUUUUUGUACAGUUAUUGAACUGGCUAAUUGAAGUUUAUCAAUUGUUCUUAGGUACUGGACUCAUGUAGUGAACUGCAGCAGCUGCAACAAUGCAUAUAAGACCAUGAAAGCUUUGGAGACCAUUCUCCUAUUCACUUCUGCCGGAUCAAUAGCUGUAGCUGCCGCAACCAAAGAAUUAGGGACGGGACCAAACCAUGAAAGCUUUGGAGACCAUUCUCCUAUUCACUUCUGCCGGAUCAAUAGCUGUAGCUGCCGCAACCAAAGAAUUAGGGACGGUACCAAUUAUGCUAGCGAGCUCGAGAACUCAAUUAGCGAUGAUCGCGACUAUAUGUUUCACAGCUUCGUGGUGGCUGGCUCAUUUCGUCUACACCAACUUCCGUUACCAUGACUACGAUCAUGGACGGAUGCAUCAUCAACCCUCAUCGCCUUUUAUUGCCCUGUUUCGGCGCAUUGGACUUGACCUGUAGCCAGACAGCUGGUCGUGAUAUUUGUGUAUUAUGGAUCGAGGAGGACACAAACUAUGUCAAAAUAAAACUUGUUAACGGUAUGCUAGCUCCGAGUACAUCUUAUACGAGUCUAUAUGUAAUAUGUAUGGCCGGUUGAGAAAAAUAAUUUCGAGAAAAAUAAUUUUUCCCUAGAAACGUAGAAUAGUAAUCACGCG
rnacentral:lncRNA from 1 species